rnacentral:rRNA from 1 species
CUACGGGACGCUGCAGUCGAGAAUCAUUCGCAAUGCGCGAAAGCGUGACGAUGCGACGCUGCGUGCAGGAUGAAGGCUUUCGGGUCGUAAACUGCUGUCAGAAGGGAGUAAUUUUCAGGAUGUUAAUAACAUCUUGAGGUGAUAGUACCUUCAGAGGAAGCCACGGCUAACUCUGUGCCAGCAGCCGCGGUAAUACAGAGGUGGCGAGCGUUGUUCGGAUUUACUGGGCGUAAAGGGUGCGUAGGCGGUUUUGUGUGUCGGAUGUGAAAGCCCACCUUUCAUGGGUGGAAUUGCAUUCGAACUGCAGAACUAGAGUACGGUAGAGGAGAGCAGAAUUCAUGGUGUAGCGGUGAAAUGCGUAGAUAUCAUGAGGAAUACCGGUGGCGAAGGCGGCUCUCUGGAACGAUACUGACGCUGAGGCACGAAAGCUAGGGGAGCAAACAGGAUUAGAUACCCUUGUAGUC